rnacentral:rRNA from 2 species
GCCUUCGUAAGGAGGAGGAAGGUGUGGACGACGUCAAGUCAUCAUGGCCCUUAUGCCCAGGGCGACACACGUGCUACAAUGGCAUAUACAAUGAGACGCAAUACCGCGAGGUGGAGCAAAUCUAUAAAAUAUGUCCCAGUUCGGAUUGUUCUCUGCAACUCGAGAGCAUGAAGCCGGAAUCGCUAGUAAUCGUAGAUCAGCCAUGCUACGGUGAAUACGUUCCCGGGUCUUGUACUCACCGCCCGUCACACCAUGGGAGUUGAUUUCACUCGAAGCCGGAAUACUAAACUAGUUACCGUCCACAGUGGAAUCAGCGACUGGGGUGAAGUCGUAACAAGGUAACCGUAGGAGAACCUGCGGUUGGAUCACCUCCUUUCUAG